rnacentral:rRNA from 1 species
CUCAUAGCGUAUAUUAAUGUUGUUGCAGUUAAAAAGCUCGUAGUUGGAUUCCUGACCUGGGGUAGCCGGUCCGCCUUGCAAAAGGUGCGCACUGAGCGGCCUCGGUCAUCCUUGAGAAGAGCGGUCCUGGCAUUCAGUUGUCGGGGUCGGGAUUCUCGACGUUUACUGUGAAAAAAUCAGAGUGUUCAACGCAGGCUUACGCCUUGAAUACAUUAGCAUGGAAUAAUGAGAUAGGACCUUGGCGGUCUAUUUUGUUGGUUUGCACGCCGAGGUAAUGAUUAAAAGGGACGGUUGGGGUUCUUCGUAUUCAAUUGUCAGAGGUGAAAUUCUUGGAUUUAUGGAAGACGAACUGCUGCGAAAGCGUCGAACAAGGACGUUCUCAUUAAUCAAGAACGAAAGUUAGGGGAUCGAAGAUGAUUAGAUACCAUCGUAGUCUUAACCAUAAACUAUGCCGAUUCAGGAUUGGCGGUCGUUUGUUCUCGACUCCGUCAGCACUGUAUGAGAAAUCAAAAUCUUUGGGUUCCGGGGGGAGUAUGGUCGCAAGGCUGAAACUUAAAGAAAUUGACGGAAGGGCACCACCAGGAGUGGAGCCUGCGGCUUAAUUUGACUCAACACGGGGAAACUUACCAGGUCCAGACAUAGUAAGGAUUGACAGAU